rnacentral:rRNA from 1 species
UACGUAGGGGCCAAGCGUUGUCCGGAAUUAUUGGGCGUAAAGAGCUCGUAGGCGGUCUGUCGCGUCUGCUGUGAAACUCAGGGCUUAACCCUGAGCUUGCAGUGGGUACGGGCAGACUAGAGUGCGGUAGGGGAGACUGGAAUUCCUGGUGUAGCGGUGAAAUGCGCAGAUAUCAGGAGGAAUACCGGUGGUGUAGACGGCUCGUCUGGACCGCCACUGACGCUGAGACACGAAAGCGUGGGUAGCAAACAGG